rnacentral:rRNA from 1 species
UACGUAGGGUGCGAGCGUUAAUCGGAAUUACUGGGCGUAAAGCGUCCGCAGGUGGACAUACAAGUCUGCUGUCAAAGUGCAGAGCUUAACUCUGUAAAGGCGGUGGAAACUGUAGGUCUUGAGUAUGGUAGGGGUAGAAGGAAUUCCCGGUGUAGCGGUGAAAUGCGUAGAUAUCGGGAAGAACACCAGUGGCGAAAGCGCUCUACUGGGCCAUAACUGACACUGAGGGACGAAAGCUAGGGGAGCGAAAGGG